AGUGAACGCUGGCGGUAGGCCUAACACAUGCAAGUCGAACGGCAGCACAGUAAGAGCUUGCUCUUACGGGUGGCGAGUGGCGGACGGGUGAGGAAUACAUCGGAAUCUACUUUUUCGUGGGGGAUAACGUAGGGAAACUUACGCUAAUACCGCAUACGACCUACGGGUGAAAGCAGGGGAUCUUCGGACCUUGCGCGAUCGAAUGAGCCGAUGUCGGAUUAGCUAGUUGGCGGGGUAAAGGCCCACCAAGGCGACGAUCCGUAGCUGGUCUGAGAGGAUGAUCAGCCACACUGGAACUGAGACACGGUCCAGACUCCUACGGGAGGCAGCAGUGGGGAAUAUUGGACAAUGGGCGCAAGCCUGAUCCAGCCAUACCGCGUGGGUGAAGAAGGCCUUCGGGUUGUAAAGCCCUUUUGUUGGGAAAGAAAAGCAGCAGGUUAAUACCCCGCUGUUCUGACGGUACCAAAAGAAUAAGCACCGGCUAACUUCGUG
rnacentral:rRNA from 1 species